CUCGUGCUGGUGCUGCAGAGGCACAUCCCAUUCCCGGGGUCAGACAGGACAGCCCAGCCCAAACACCUGAGCUGCCACCUGCACAGGAAUGUGUGCUGUGCCUUGCUCUGUACAUGAAAGCUCCUGGGGAUGAUCCUCCAGGCAAUUCUCCAGCUCAUUUCAGGAUGUCAGCUGAGCCCUGGCAAGCCCCCAGCAAAGGAAUAAACCCUUCACAAGCAACAGAACAAAAGUCUUUUGGUUAUCCCUGGUGGCACAACCUGAAACAUCAACCUCUUCCCCUCAUAGCAACUUCCUAGGCAGAACAACCCCAUUUAUUCUGCAUUUCUGACAUUUCCCCCUAGCUGGUGAUCCCAGAAUCCCCAAAUCCCCGGGGCUGGCAAAGCCCUCCCAGCCCCUGC